rnacentral:tRNA from 1 species
GGUUCCAUAAUUCAGUGGUAGAAUGCCUGCUUUACAAGUAUGUCGUGGGUUCGAUCCCCACUGGGAUCA